UGGCCAGACUCCUACGGGAGGCAGCAGUGAGGAAUAUUGGUCAAUGGGCGGGAGCCUGAACCAGCCAAGUCGCGUGAAGGAAGAAGGUACUUAGUAUUGUAAACUUCUUUUGUCGGGGAACAAAGGCGGAGACGCGUCUCCGGAUGAGUGUACCCGAAGAAAAAGCAUCGGCUAACUCCGUGCCAGCAGCCGCGGUAAUACGGGGGAUGCAAGCGUUAUCCGGAUUUAUUGGGUUUAAAGGGUGCGUAGGCUGUGAGGUAAGUCAGCGGUGAAAUGCCCCCGCUCAACGGGGUGAAGUGCCAUUGAUACUGCCUUGCUGGAAUGCGGAUGCCGUGGGAGGAAUGUGUGGUGUAGCGGUGAAAUGCAUAGAUAUCACACAGAACACCGAUUGCGAAGGCAUCUCACGAAUCCGCGAUUGACGCUGAUGCACGAAAGCGUGGGUAUCAAACAGGAUUAGAUACCCUCGUAAAU
rnacentral:rRNA from 1 species